rnacentral:rRNA from 1 species
CCCUAGUAACGGCGAGUGAAGCGGCAACAGCUCAAAUUUGAAAUCUGGCUCUCGGGCCCGAGUUGUAAUUUGUAGAGGAUACUUUUGAUGCGGUGCCUUCCGAGUACCCUGGAACGGGACGCCAUAGAGGGUGAGAGCCCCGUCUGGUUGGAUGCCAAAUCUCUGUAAAGUUCCUUCAACGAGUCGAGUAGUUUGGGAAUGCUGCUCUAAAUGGGAGGUAUAUGUCUUCUAAAGCUAAAUACCGGCCAGAGACCGAUAGCGCACAAGUAGAGUGAUCGAAAGAUGAAAAGCACUUUGAAAAGAGAGUUAAAAAGUACGUGAAAUUGUUGAAAGGGAAGCGUUUAUGACCAGACUUGGGCUUGGUUAAUCAUCUGGGGUUCUCCCCAGUGCACUUUUCCAGUCCAGGCCAGCAUCAGUUUUCCCCGGGGGAUAAAGGCGGCGGGAAUGUGGCUCUCUUCGGGGAGUGUUAUAGCCCACCGUGUAAUACCCUGGGGGGGACUGAGGUUCGCGCAUCUGCAAGGAUGCUGGCGUAAUGGUCAUCAACGACCCGUCUUGAAA